UACGUAGGCAGCGAGCGUUGUUCGGAGUUACUGGGCGUAAAGGGUGUGUAGGCGGUUUCUAAGUUUGGUGUGAAAUCUCCCGGCUCAACCGGGAGGGUGCGCCGAAAACUGGGAGACUAGAGUGCGGGAUGGGAGAGUAGAAUUCCUGGUGUAGCGGUGAAAUGCGUAGAUAUCUGGAGGAAUACCGGUGGCGAAGGCGGCAUCCUGGACCGAGAUUGACGCUGAUGAGCGAAAGCUAGGGGAGCAAACGGG
rnacentral:rRNA from 1 species